rnacentral:rRNA from 1 species
UACGGGGGGGGGCAAGCGUUGUUCGGAAUUACUGGGCGUAAAGGGCUCGUAGGCGGCCAACUAAGUCGGACGUGAAAUCCCCAGGCUCAACCCUGGGAACUGCGUCCGAUACUGGAUGGCUUGAAUCCGGGAGAGGGAUGCAGAAUUCCAGGUGUAGCGGUGAAAUGCGUAGAUAUCUGGAGGAAUACCGGCGGCGAAGGCGGCAUCCUGGACCAACACUGACGCUGAGUGAGCGAAAGCCAGGGGAGCAAACGGG